rnacentral:rRNA from 1 species
GACGAACGCUGGCGGCGUGCUUAACACAUGCAAGUCGAACGGAGAGGCCCUGCUUUUGCGGGGUGCUCGAGUGGCGAACGGGUGGGUAACACGUGAGUAACCUGCCCUUGACUUUGGGAUAACUUCAGGAAACUGGGGCUAAUACCGGAUAGGAGCUCCUGCUGCAUGGUGGGGGUUGGAAAGUUUCGGCGGUUGGGGAUGGACUCGCGGCUUAUCAGCUUGUUGGUGGGGUAGUGGCUUACCAAGGCUUUGACGGGUAGCCGGCCUGAGAGGGUGACCGGCCACAUUGGGACUGAGAUACGGCCCAGACUCCUACGGGAGGCAGCAGUGGGGAAUAUUGCACAAUGGGCGGAAGCCUGAUGCAGCAACGCCGCGUGCGGGAUGACGGCCUUCGGGUUGUAAACCGCUUUCGCCUGUGACGAAGCGUGAGUGACGGUAAUGGGUAAAGAAGCACCGGCUAACUACGUG